rnacentral:rRNA from 1 species
UGACCUCGGAUCAGGUAGGAGGAC